rnacentral:lncRNA from 10 species
AUAAAUGAUGCUGAAAAGAAAUCUGGUCUUUUCAGGUUCCCGUACUGACGUGUCGAGGUGGUCGCAUCCCGGCGUAGAGGACUAGGAAUCGGGAGUCACUGGCCGUAUGCUGGAGGCUGGAGACGCGGGAGCGUGGCUUGCCUCGCUGCGGUUGUUGGCAGCGAUGGAGAUGGCGCGGCUGGAGAGGUAUUUUAUGAACCACUUCAGAAAGCUUUCAUCAAGCUCAGGUUUAAGCUGAUGACCUAAAAUUACAUGAAGUUCCUAAAAUUAUAUGAAGAAAAUCUAUCCUGUUAUGAGGCUGGCCAGAAGGAUAACCGGAGAAUCUCCAGCUAUGUCAUCAGCUUCCCAGAUAAGCCAUGGUCAGGGGCCCUUCCUCUAAGCUUCCUGGGACUCCAUGGAUAGGUGAGGCUUCUGGGCAGCAGUCGCUCAUCUUUCUGUCCCACUUCAGCUGCAGUGAGAAGAGAUAAAGGGAACACUGCAUAUUGAGCCUCAUUUAGUUUUGUCAUGCACUGUGCUUUUGAAAAAAGGCAAAUAAUUGUCAACAUGUAAAAACUGAGAAGGUUCAUACUAAAAAUAGAUUCUGAUUUUUCUAAAAAAAAAAACACUGAGUUUGGAUUCA